rnacentral:lncRNA from 1 species
CCUGUUCUUCAUUUCUCCCUGGAAAUUAAAUUGGGACUCUCUUUCUCUGGCCUCAUACAUCCUUAGUUUCUUCACAGCUCUGUUCAGAAGCCUCUUGCACCUGUGACAUUCUUUCUGCAGUUCAAUAUUUCUUUUCAUUUCCUGGUCAAGACGUGCUUCAACUGGUCGUUUCAACUCUACCAGCUUCUUCACUUUCUUUCUUUCACUCUCACACUGUUCCAAGAGCUCAGCCUUUUCCCUAUCAAGUUGAGCAAGACGAUCUUCAAGGUGGGCUCUUGACUUCAGUUCUUCCUCCCACAUAUUGCGUGAGUCUUUUGAUGUCAUAGCCAACAUAUUCUGCUUUUGCAUCUGCUGAUGUUGGUAUUCUUCUGCAGCUGUCUGCGCUGUCCGUAAACCAGUUAUCAAGUCCUCUAGUCGAUUAUGAACUGAGGUUGAGGCUUGCAGGUCCUUCUGAAGAGCUUCAAUUCUA